rnacentral:sRNA from 10 species
CAUCCCCAUCUAUCAUUUUCAGAGACAAAAAAGUGUUGUUUUUCAGGAACAAAGGUUUUAUGCAAUUUAAAAGGUUGAAGGAUUCUUUACAUAUUGCCUAGAAAAAACACUGCUUCCAUAUAUAUCUCCAAUUAUUUCAUAUCCGAUCGAGCUGUCUCCAUGUUUCUGAAGAUAAGCAGAAGAGGUCAUUACGGAUACCAAAUGUUGAAUGGUGAUAGAUGAAAAAGCUGACAGAGAAUCUAAUUUUAUGGGCUAAGAUUUCAUGCGGAAUCUGACCACAAAAUUCUUCCGAAUGAUCCAUCUUUGCCUGUAAAACUGUCUAGCUCAGGUGCUUAAAUGUGUAUAGACGGGAUGAACUGACAGAGUUGCAGAUCAAUGGCAUUGGUCUUGAGACAUUGGACUACAAGGGACACAUAUAAAAUUCUCAUUUCAUUGAGUCCCACAUCUAAAAACUGCAUUUAUCCACUUCACCAAUAUGACAGUUGGAGACAAUGCUCCUUGUUCUACCAAUAAGUAUAGGUUUCCUAUUGAUCUUCUACAGAGUGAGACAUUGUACUUAAACUACUUCUUCGACUGGAAGGUCAACGCUUGAAAACAUCUUUCUUGUAGUUUCACAUAAUUGAACUCACUUCCUUUUUCAUAUUUGAUUCGGUAUGUGUUUUCCAUUUCUGACUUGAUUUCACAGCUUGGGUUGAUUCUGGGGAGGUUACCAACACAUUAUGAUCCUAGAAAUUUAUUGAUCUUAAAAGUUUUCAUACCCCAACUUGACCUUUUGUGGAUAGCAGAUGUUCUCAAGGUUUGUCCAUUGAUGCAAAAGUUGGAAUUACAUCUAUGACACUGUGAUUAUAUUGAUAGAAAUAGAGAAAUAAACCGGUUUCCAGCUGCCCUCAUGAUCAUCUCAAGGAAUUUCUUAUUACUGGUACAUAUGGUUACGUGACUGAGAUUGAGAUCGCUGUGUAUCUACUGAACAAUGCAAUAGUGCUUCAGAAGAUGGCGUUGGACCCAUGUAUCAGAUCUUAUAAUGGUCAUGGCACUAGCGAAGCUAGAGAAGCUUGUGCCAGAUGGGCUGCAAUGGGAAGGCAGAGGGUCUUUGAGCAUCUGAUGAGCAUCUGAUAGGUGAAGUUCAUCCCAGUGUAGAGCUGCUGCUUCUGUGAAUACCAAUAGGUGAGAUUCUGUGUUCAUAGAUUCUGGUUAAUUACUCAAUUCUCAAUUUGAAAGCAUAGACGUGUAAAAUGAAAGUUACUAUAAUGUACUAGUUAAUAUCAAGUGUCAAAGCCGAUGAAUUUUUCAGCCAAUAAUAUUUCCUCUUGUAUGACUUCCGAAAAAAAAUGCAAAUAGCCUGGUAUAAGAUACUGCAUCCUGUGACUACUCUGAGAUGAGCAACUAAACACUCAAAGGCUUGGAGAGCAACCGUUCCUGAUUUUUUGAAAUGUGAUAGGAGUUAUUGAUCAAAAGCUGAAGACUAGUAAGACUACCCGCCUUGUCUUUCUAAUCAGUGUCAGGUGUCAGCAAGACUUCCUCCAAACACUAGCAGAAGGGUAGAGUCAACCUGACCAAGGGUCAAUACGAGGCCAAAUGAACUCCAUGUGACAGUUGAUUCAUUUCUCUUUCUUGUUACUCACAUAACAAAAAGCAAUAGUAUUUUUAUGAACGCUCGAUAUGUUCUGAAAGCAGUUUGAAUUCUGGCA